GACGAACGCUGGCGGCGUGCUUAACACAUGCAAGUCGAACGGAAAGGCCCUGCUUUUGUGGGGUGCUCGAGUGGCGAACGGGUGAGUAACACGUGAGUAACCUGCCCUUGACUUUGGGAUAACUUCAGGAAACUGGGGCUAAUACCGGAUAGGAGCUCCUGCUGCAUGGUGGGGGUUGGAAAGUUUCGGCGGUUGGGGAUGGACUCGCGGCUUAUCAGCUUGUUGGUGGGGUAGUGGCUUACCAAGGCUUUGACGGGUAGCCGGCCUGAGAGGGUGACCGGCCAAAUUGGGACUGAGAAACGGCCCAGACUCCUACGGGGGGAAGCAGGGGGGAAUAUUGCACAAGGGGCGGAAGCCUGAUGCAGCAACGCCGGGGGGGGGAUGACGGCCUUCGGGUUGAAAACCGCUUUCGCCUGUGACGAGGCGGGAGGGACGGUAAUGGGUAAAGAAGCACCGGCUAACUACGU
rnacentral:rRNA from 1 species